rnacentral:rRNA from 1 species
UACGUAGGGGCCUAGCGUUGUCCGGAAUCAUUGGGCGUAAAGCGCGUGUAGGCGGCCCGGUAAGUCCGCUGUGAAAGUCCAGGGCUCAACCCUGGGAUGCCGGUGGAUACUGUCGGGCUCGAGUCCGGAAGAGGAGUGUGGAAUUCCUGGUGUAGCGGUGAAAUGCGCAGAUAUCAGGAGGAACACCAAUGGCGAAGGCAGCACUCUGGGACGUGACUGACGGCUGAGACGCGAAAGCGUGGGGAGCAAACAGG